CUUUCUGGUGGAAGUCGUGUCAUAGAAAUGCUGCUGCUGCUGUCUACUUUUGUUUCUUUCCAUCUGUUUCAGUCAUUUUCAGAGCUCCCAGACUUUCUGUUUGCAUUCAUCUUCCGAAUCUAUACAGACCCCACUAAAAUUUGUUUGUGUUUUGAAAACUUUCAAAAUCAAAGUAUGAGUUAUGAUUAUCAUUUGAGUUGUGUAUACAGCUUAGUACUGGGAUAUACUAAAUGACACUGGUAACUAUCAUUUGAAUAGUGUACACGACUUAAUACUAGGAGACGAGACAAAUACUUAAUGACACCAAUGACUAUCAUUUGAGUUGUGUACAAAACUUAAUACUAGCAAGCCUUUUUUGUUCCUCGUAAAAUUAUAGUAGUGCAUUUUAAGAGCUUUAAACACAAAGCCCUUCUGAAAUGAAUUGACAGGUACAGUUCAGAAUUAUGAGAAAUCCUGUCAUCAUUUAUCAUUCAUUUUUCAACAAAACAUCACUAAGGUAUCCAAUCUCACAUUCUAUAUAACUCUUGCUGGUCUAAUAAACCUUGCUGCUUCUUUUUCCCUGAGGUGAACGGUGUUUUGUUUGUCUGAAUCUGGCUUGUGGGUACUGAUGUGGAAUCCACUAAAGACUACAAAGUUGUCAUUAACACGUAACACGUACUCAUCUUUCACGCCAGACACAUAAAAUGAAGCAUGUGUUGAAGUCAUUGUAAAGUUGAGAGAAAGAUCUCGUCAAAUCACUCCCAAACCUAUUACCUUCCGAACCAUAUUAUCGUACUUCCACAAAAAUUCAUCAGAAACUAAACAUGGUGGCUCUCAGUGAUUUGACUUCCCCAUCAGCGGCUUAUGCUUAUGCUGCGGAGGCUUCUAUUUCAGCAUUUGACAUUCUCCUUGGGACAACUUUUUAGCCAAAUAGUUACUCGCCAACUUGAAGCUUUCUUGUCAAAGCCUAGAGAAAAGAAAGCUCAUUCAGAGAAAAAAGAAAGCUUGGAAACAAAUCUUUAUACUUAGGAGUCAGGAGAUUUGAUUUAUAUACGUGCCGUGCCUCCAGAGACAGGGAAAUGGAGUUUGAUAGUUGCAUUGGCUAAUAAUCUAGAGUUUGACAUAAUGUGAAGCAUGACGACUCUGGGCACAAGAAAUUAUUGUUGCGGAGACUGCAUAUCAGUCCAUCCCUGUAAUUGAAGAUAGUGAUUGUAGUGAAGAGUUAGCUCUCCAGGAAAACAAAAUAUUAUUCCUACUUGUAAAAAACUAUAUCUGUUAAAAUAUAAGUCGCUUGACUUUUUUGCAUGUAAUUUUAAGUCCUUUGACCGCACGCUA
rnacentral:lncRNA from 1 species